rnacentral:rRNA from 1 species
UCGGGAAUUUUGGGCAAUGGGCGAAAGCCUGACCCAGCAACGCCGCGUGAGGGAUGAAGUAUUUCGGUAUGUAAACCUCGAAAGAAUGGGAAGAAUAAAUGACGGUACCAUUUAUAAGCUCCGGCUAACUACGUGCCAGCAGCCGCGGUAAUACGUAGGGAGAAAGCGUUGUUCGGAUUUACUGGGCGUAAAGGGCGCGUAGGCGGCGCGGUAAGUCACUUGUGAAAUCUCUGAGCUUAACUCAGAACGGCCAAGUGAUACUGCUGUGCUAGAGUGCUGAAGAGGCAACCGGAAUUCUUGGGGUAGCGGUGAAAUGCGUAGAUAUCAAGAGCAACACCUGAGGCGAAGGCGGGUUGCUGGGCCGACACUGACGCUGAUGCGCGAAAGCCAGGGGAGCAAACG